AAACCAUCUGGGUCCGUCCAGUGCACCCAUGCCCGACAAUGCGAGCCAGAGACUAGUCUACUCCUUCAAUGUACUAAUUCAAUGCGGCGCACGACCGUCUCACGCACGCACCCGCGCCUUCUUAUUCUUAAACCACGCCACACCACACGAGCGCGAGCGAGCUGCAGAGUGGGUCGACGGGCAAACAUGGCCGCCUCUUCCUCGCUCCUCGCCGUCGUCCCGGCGCUCCUCCUCCUCCUCCUCAUCGCGCCAGCGCCGGCAGCAGCAGCGAGCCCCUCCAAGCGCGCCACCCACCAGCCCCCUCCUUUCCCCGCACGAGCUUCUCCCCUGCAUCAGCGGGCGGCAAGCUCGAGCGGCAGGUACGCCGCCUCCGCCGCGGCAGCGACGGACAACGGCACGGCGAAGCCGUUCACGGCUCACUACUUCCAGCAGGAGCUGGACCACUUCACCUUCACGCCCAACGCCUCCGGCCUCUUCUCCCACAAGUACCUCCUCAACGACACCUUCUGGCGGCGGAAGCCCACCGCCGGCCCGCUGUUCGUGUACAUGGGCAACGAGGGCGACAUCGAGUGGUUCGCCACCAACACCGGCUUCAUGUUCGACAUCGCGCCCGAGUUCGGCGCCCUCCUCGUCUUCAUCGAGCAUCGUUUCUACGGGGAGUCGAAGCCGUUCGGGAACGACUCGUACAAGUCGGCCGACACGCUGGGCUACCUGACGUCCACGCAGGCGCUGGCCGACUUCGCCGUCCUCAUCACCAGCCUCAAGCAUAACCUCUCCGCCGUCGACGCCCCGGUCGUCGUCUUCGGCGGCUCCUACGGCGGCAUGCUGGCAUCAUGGUUCAGGCUCAAGUACCCCCACGUCGCCAUGGGAGCUCUGGCGUCCUCUGCACCCAUCCUGCAGUUCGAGGACAUCACCCCGUGGUCUAGCUUCUACGACGCCGUCUCGCAGGACUUCAAGUCCGAGAGCCUGAAUUGCUUCAGUGUCAUCAAGGCGGUCUGGGAUGUGCUUGAUGACAGGGGAUCCAGCGACACAGGCCUCUUGGAGCUCAGCAAAACAUUCAGGGCCUGCAAGACCGUGCGCUUCCCUAGUUCGCUGUCCAACUGGCUAUGGACCGCAUUCACAUACACAGCCAUGGUGGACUAUCCAACUCCAGCCAAUUUCAUGAUGAAUCUGCCUGCUUACCCUGUCAAGGAGAUGUGCAAGAUCAUUGAUUCUUUUCCCGCGGGUGCAGACGUCGUCGAAAAAGCUUUCGCAGCGGCGAGUCUGUACUACAAUUACACAGGCGACCAGAAAUGCUUCCAGGUAGAGGGUGGGGAUGACCCCCAUGGCCUCAGCGGCUGGGGCUGGCAGGCUUGCACAGAGAUGGUCAUGCCAAUGACGGUGUCGAAUGAGAGCAUGUUUCCGCCAUCCGGCUUCAGCUACGAAGAGAAGUCCGAGGGCUGCUUUGCCAGCUAUGAGGUUCGCCCGAGGAUGAACUGGAUCACUACUGAAUAUGGUGGCCAUAAAAUUGACAAAGUUCUCAAGAAGUUUGGGAGCAACAUCAUCUUCUCCAACGGGAUGCGAGACCCGUGGAGUCGAGGGGGGGUUCUCAAGAACAUAUCAUCCAGCAUCAUUGCUCUUGUCACAGAGAAAGGGGCCCAUCAUUUGGACUUCAGAUCUGCAACCAAGGAUGACCCAGACUGGGUUGUAGAACAAAGGAGACAGGAAGUUGAGAUCAUACAUGGAUGGAUAGAUCAGUAUAACAAGUACAUUGCACAGAUGUAGCAGUAAGAAGGUGCCAUUGAUUUCACAGUUGAGGAAAAUAAAUAUGUGGCCACUUGCAAAAAAUAUAAGGAUUUGCCUUUCUUUUACAGGGCAAUGGGUGCAAAAAUUAAAAUAACAUAUCAGUGCAAUUGCAAUUCAAUAACUUGUCACUCAAUACCAGAAAUUCUAAAACUUAUGCGAAUAAUGAAUGCAAAGCUUCUCUUUGCUCUGAAACUGUUGCGAUGAAUAUUGAACUCGGGGGCAUACAUGUAUUUGUCCCCACAGAAAAUUUAAUUGCACAAUUUUGACAUGCGCCCUGUCUAUGACGCGUGGGUCCAAACCAACAAUCAUAGACAGGGGAAAUGUGUUCUACUUUGCAGGGAAUAUCCCAUGGAAAGAAGCAAUAUUGCAUAUCAUAGCACCUUUGUUCUUCGCAAUAAAUAUAAUAUUUCUUAUGAUCCCUAGAAAAGAGCACCAAUUUAAAAGAAGUGCUGCUAUGCAUACGAUGCUAUGGGUCCGAUUUUUUGUAAGACAAUGAAGAUCGAGCCAUCUUUGCAUUGGAGUAAACUGGUAAACUGUAGCAUGACAAUUGAAUAGUCAUCGUUCUAUGAUCGUAUUAAUAAGUAUCAUACUCGCAGGUGAUGUUUGUCGAAGCUUGCAACCCUGCUUCUAACUAGACUACCACAAUUUUCACAAUUUCGCGGUUACAAUCUGCAAGAUCAACAGCCGGCGAACACAUAUGCAGAAACAUCUCUCGCGAAAUUCGUGAAGGGGGUGCUUGGUUAGACAUAAUUUAUGACUUUUUGGUUUUUGGCUUAUAAGCCAAAAAAACCUAUUUGUGUGCUUUUUUCUUUCGCUUUUAGCUUUAUAUAUUAUGUGCUUUUUGGCAUAUAAGCUAAAUUCAAAAGCCAAAAGUAAGCCUAACCAAACACCCUCGAAAGCAUCAUCUCCAGAGAAUUCCUGCAGUGAGAAACUUGAUUUGGAUACAUCUGACCAGCUCAACAAAUUCACUAUGCCAAGCCUGAAAAGUCUAGAGAUAGUGUCAAAUCACCAUAAAGAAGACAAAAGUAAAAUGAACUAGCAUUUUGCGGUGAAAGAAUGAGACAAGUUCUUGCGUCAUUGCGCAUGUUGAAAAUAAUAUCAUCCAUUGUGAAGGCAUUGAGUUGAUCAUUAAGACCUCCUUGAUAACCUAUGCUGUUUUGCAUAGGGAGGAUGUCAUUUGCAUCCCGGUCAUUAAGCAGGUAAGUUGUUGUGACAAUACUAUCUGGCCGAAGGUGGGACAAUGCAAAACUGGUACUCCCAAGAUUAACCAUCCGAGCCGGCGCCAAUGAAGCACUACCAGUACCAGGUGCAAAGUUCUCAUUCAACAUCAUCCCUGUCGAGCUUCCAUGGCUUGCCAUGUUUGAAUGGCCCCACUGGCUCAUUUAAGCCCCCACUGUUGUAGUGUGCAUUCGACAUCCCUGCAUUGCUUACUAUGUGGAAUGGUGCCAUCCGCUUACUGAAGUCUUCCAUUGAUGUAGCAAUGUGAUAUCCCACAAGUGUAGGGGUCAAUUGUAGACCUUUUCGAUAAGUAAGAGGGUUGAACCCAAUGAUAAGCACAAGGAAUUGGUGAGCAGAAAAUUGUUUGGAUUUACUGCAAGUACUAAAAAAAUGUGGCCAUGUUCUAUUUUGUUGUUGGAGAGUUGCAAGAAUAACUAGCAAUACAAUUAAAAUAAUAUAACUUGUGGCAUGAUCAUUAAUUGUGCUAGGACAAGCAUGUAGUGUUUCUUAUGUGGACUAAAAAGUUCUGGCAAGAAUACCGCAC
rnacentral:rRNA from 1 species